rnacentral:rRNA from 1 species
UACGAAGGGGGCUAGCGUUGCUCGGAAUCACUGGGCGUAAAGCGCACGUAGGCGGAUUGCUAAGUCAGGGGUGAAAUCCUGGAGCUCAACUCCAGAACUGCCUUUGAUACUGGCGAUCUUGAGUCCGGGAGAGGUGAGUGGAACUGCGAGUGUAGAGGUGAAAUUCGCAGAUAUUCGCAAGAACACCAGUGGCGAAGGCGGCUCACUGGCCCGGUACUGACGCUGAGGUGCGAAAGCGUGGGGAGCAAACAGG